rnacentral:rRNA from 1 species
GAUCAUGGCUCAGGACGAACGCUGGCGGCGUGCUUAACACAUGCAAGUCGAACGGAAAGGCCCUGCUUUUGUGGGGUGCUCGAGUGGCGAACGGGUGAGUAACACGUGAGUAACCUGCCCUUGACUUUGGGAUAACUUCAGGAAACUGGGGCUAAUACCGGAUAGGAGCUCCUGCUGCAUGGUGGGGGUUGGAAAGUUUCGGCGGUUGGGGAUGGACUCGCGGCUUAUCAGCUUGUUGGUGGGGUAGUGGCUUACCAAGGCUUUGACGGGUAGCCGGCCUGAGAGGGUGACCGGCCACAUUGGGACUGAGAUACGGCUCAGACUCCUACGGGAGGCAGCAGUGGGGAAUAUUGCACAAUGGGCGGAAGCCUGAUGCAGCAACGCCGCGUGCGGGAUGACGGCCUUCGGGUUGUAAACCGCUUUCGCCUGUGACGAAGCGUGAGUGACGGUAAUGGGUAAAGAAGCACCGGCUAACUACGUGCCAGCAGCCGCGGUGAUACGUAGGGUGCGAGCGUUGUCCGGAUUUAUUGGGCGUAAAGGGCUCGUAGGUGGUUGAUCGCGUCGGAAGUGUAAUCUUGGGGCUUAACCCUGAGCGUGCUUUCGAUACGGGUUGACUUGAGGAAGGUAGGGGAGAAUGGAAUUCCUGGUGGAGCGGUGGAAUGCGCAGAUAUCAGGAGGAACACCAGUGGCGAAGGCGGUUCUCUGGGCCUUUCCUGACGCUGAGGAGCGAAAGCGGGGGAGCGAACAGGCUUAGAUACCCUGGUAGUCCACGCUGUAAACGGUGGGUACUAGGUGUGGGGUCCAUUCCACGGGUUCCGCGCCGUAGCUAACGCUUUAAGUACCCCGCCUGGGGAGUACGGCCGCAAGGCUAAAACUCAAAGGAAUUGACGGGGCCCCGCACAAGCGGCGGAGCAUGCGGAUUAAUUCGAUGCAACGCUAGAACCUUACCUGGGUUUGACAUGGAUCGGGAGUGCUCAGAGAUGGGUGUGCCUCUUUUGGGGUCGGUUCACAGGUGGUGCAUGGCUGUCGUCAGCUCGUGUCGUGAGAUGUUGGGUUAAGUCCCGCAACGAGCGCAACCCUUGUUCACUGUUGCCAGCACGUUAUGGUGGGGACUCAGUGGAGACCGCCGGGGUCAACUCGGAGGAAGGUGGGGAUGACGUCAAGUCAUCAUGCCCCUUAUGUCCAGGGCUUCACGCAUGCUACAAUGGCUGGUACAGAGAGUGGCGAGCCUGUGAGGGUGAGCGAAUCUCGGAAAGCCGGUCUCAGUUCGGAUUGGGGUCUGCAACUCGACCUCAUGAAGUUGGAGUCGCUAGUAAUCGCAGAUCAGCAACGCUGCGGUGAAUACGUUCCCGGGGCUUGUACACACCGCCCGUCAAGUCAUGAAAGUUGGUAACACCCGAAGCCGGUGGCCUAACCGUUGUGGGGGAGCCGUCGAAGGUGGGACUGGUGAUUAGGACUAAGUCGUAACAAGGU